GAAACAACAAAAGCACAUUGCUAAAUAUUAGUUUUGUCUGCUGGUACUUUGAAGAUGCAAAAGAUGGGGAAGUUAAAAAGGGCCAAGAAAAUGUCUUCCGAGCUAUGUACAGCAUUUUUAACAAUUGAGUAAAAUAUACUCCUAUGAACAAAAUUUUGAGCAUAUUUAUUUUUCUCUACCUGAUUCUUCCAGAAUUUGGAAACUAUUUAUCACUGAAAUCAAAUCAAGAUGUAAAAAGGGAUAAAGUGGCUUUCUUCUCCAUUCUUCCACUAGUCGCCAUGACCUAUUGAAGAAAGGAACUUUUCUCUCUCUCACCUGAGGCAAGGUUUCUGGAGACCACAGUUCUUAUUCCCCACAUUGGCGUUGUACAUUACUACAGUUUGAAAAGUAAACAAAUGUGAUCAGUCAUUUGAAAAUCUUACUACAUCAAGAAUCCAAGAGAGAAUGCCAGCCCAGGGUCCCAGGCACCAUGAGAACUUUUGGACAUGUUGGUAAUCUCCAGAUGGGAUUAAAACAAAAAAUUCAAAAGACAAAGAAAACACUCCCUCUACAAAUUACUUGCUGCCAGUAUUGAAAUCUGUCCUGCCCUCAAAAGGCCUACAAUGGGAACACUGUAAUAAGUGUUUGUGUAUAGUAAAUGAGUUAAGAAUUUUAAUUUUUAAAAUGUUUUAAAAUGCAUGGUCUAUUUUACAGGGCACUGGUCAAUGCUAGCACCUACAUUCAUCAGAGGGUGACCUGGGUGGGGCAUGGGGGUGGAAGUUUAGGUCAUUUUGUUGAAAACCUACAAUGUAUCAAAGGCUUUACAUAUAUUUCCACUGAAUCUUCACAAUAAUCCUACAGCUGGGCAGUAGAAACUCCAUUUUGCAAAUAAGAAACCUGGGACUAACAGAGUAACAGCUGAAUUGGUUCUGAAAGCCACCAAAACCAUCUGCCUUUUAAAUCCAUUCUCUUUCUCUCUAUAACUCGCUCACUGCAGUCCACUAGGAGUUUGUGAAACAGAUGUGCUUUCAGGUCUGUUACAUCUGGGUGUGAAUACCAAGCUCUGCCCUUACCAGCUCUGUAACUUUAGACAACUAUAUGCCUCUCUGAGCCUCUAUUGCCUCCUGUAUUAAACAGGGGCAUCACUGACCUUACAAAACUAUUGUAAGGUUUUGUAAUAAUAUAUGUAAAUUGAUAGGCUCAUAAUAGGUAGUCUGCAGAUAGAAGCCACAGUGAAUUAGAAACAUGUAUUUUUCCACUAAACCACAUACAUUACAAUAAGGUAUAAAAAGAAGCAAUAAUUUAUAAGCUUGUAUUCUAGAUCACAUUCCCUGGUAGGCCAGAACAUCUGGGCCAGAAAUCCUUGGCAUGCACAGGUGAAAAUAAAUACACUCUUAACUACUCUUCAAGGAAAGUAAAGGAGAGAAGUUCGCAGGACCGGUAAAUUCCAAGGUCAAGUUUUCAACAGAUUGUGGUACAUUAUUACUUGUAACAGUUUUAACCGACGCAAUUGACAGCACGUAAAGUGCUAUGAAAACUCUGUGACAUCACAUGUAUUCAUUUUACAAGGCUCCAGAACUAUACUUCAUGCUUUAAGGAUUCAGAAAAGCUUUAAGACAUAUAGUUCCUAUAAGCAAAGCGAUAAAGGGGUAAAAAAAAAAUGUAGCCAAAAUGUUAAAUCACUGAAGAUUUCAGUGAUUUAAAGGCUAAAUUUAAAGGCUAAAAACAAAUUUCAUUAAAAUAGAUCACAUAAGAAAUAACUGUGUCUAGACCUAUUAAAAAUGCCAACUCUUUGCCUUUCAAUUUUGAGUCUAAACAGGCUUCUUUGUAUUAAAUGACCACUAUGAAGCAGCUAAUGCAACUUCUAAAAUGUUACCAAAUUUAUAAACAGAACACCAAAUAUGUGUGGGUCAAAGUCCACAUACAAAUCUACACUACUGCUCCUUUGGUGGGGAGGGAAAUGGUAAGCACAGAACAGUUUAUCACCCCAUAAAAGGUUCAUUUGUAGUCUUACAUGCUGUAACCUAUAUUUUAAUAAAACCAUGGUCCAUAGCUGGUCAAUAACCUCUUAAUCAUGGUCAAACUACAUGACCAUUAUGUCCACAAAUUGUUAGUUUUCUUGCUAUAUUUUUUUAAAAAACAAGCAGCCCUUCCUGCCGUAGUUAUUUUCCAAGAAAUAGUAAUGAGCAUUCCAAAGGAUAAAACAGAACUAAAGGGUGAAGAUGAAAAAAAAAAGCUCUUCUACUUAAAGAGAAAAAGAGGACUUUACACUUCAUAAAUCAGCUAUCAUCUAUGAGGUCUGACUUCUCUUUAAAAUAAAGCCACACCAAUAAGCUUUUUGGCCAAAAAGUUAUAGCAAUAAGCAUUUGGAAUUAAUUUUACCAGGCCCUUUGCUGAUCUUUAUUGUUACUUGUAGCUCCCUUUCCUCAUUUCAUUCCAUGCUCCCAAUACCAGUUCAUAGAAUAUGGAAUUGCUGAAAUACCUAUCAUGCUCUGUAAAGUCCCUGAGGACUUCUUCAGGUAUAAAUCAUGUUGGAUGAAAGCUUAAUUAUUUGUUCUCAAAUUCAAGUAGAAUAUAAAUAUGAUAUGUUCAAAUUGUAGAAAACUAUAACCAUUUAAAAGUACAAGGUGAAGUAUAAGUAAUGACCUGAAAAACCCAUUGUUAAGUUAAAAAAAAAAAAAGACAAGUUGGCUGGGCAUGGUAGCUCACAUCUGUAAUUCCAACACUUUGGGAGGCCAAGGCAAUGCAUCACUUGAGCUCAGGAGUUCAAGUUCAGCCUAGGCAACAUGGUAAAACCCCAUCUCUAAGAAAUUAGCUGGGCAUGGUGGUAUGUGCCUGUUGGUCCCAGCUACCUGGGGGCUGAAGCAGGAGGAUCACUUGAGCCCAGAAAGUCAAGGCUGCAGUGAGCUGUGUUUGCACCACUGCACUCUAGCUUAGGCAAUGAAGUGAGACC
ensembl:lncRNA novel transcript, antisense to RSPO2